AAGAGUCUCAUUGCAGUCAAAAGCAAGGAACACAGAGAAGGGGGCUCCUCAAGAUGCUUAGAAUAAAUGAUGAUUGAGUACUUAGCCUAAACAAUUUUAUUCCAUAUUUAUUCCAUAUUUUCUAAAGCCUUGGAGCAUGAGAGAAGCAUGAUGUGGAAAGACUAUAAGAGCUAAAAGCUAGGGUGAGAGUCUGUGCAGGUCUAUCUUCUGGGCUUGACACAGCCAUUGCAAACAUGAUUUUAUGUCAGUUGGGGUUUCCUGCUCUGGUUCUGCACAAGGCUGAACUUUGGAGAGGAUUAUUCAGCCUUAACUACUGCUGAAGUAUUAGCUACUGAUAUACACUUGGGGAGAGAUAGUCACUUUCGUCAAUUGUACACUAAACAAUGAGUCCAGCAGGGCCCAAACUCAUGGCUGAACAAAUGAUACUGAGUAAAAUGAAUGGAUUGCAAAACAAGCAAAGCAUAUUAUAGCAACGGAACCUGUCAGGAAAAAUAGGAUUGAUGGGGUGGGAGGGAGAUAGGAGACAGUGGAGAAUAAGAGUAUAUAAGAUACACUAUAUAUACAUCUGAAACUAUCAAAGAACCAAUUUAAUCAGCACAGAUGAGGACUGUACAACAAUAAGAAGCACUCUAAAACAUUCUCCAUUUCAAAGGAAGCCCUUAUAUAUUUUGUGGUAUAAAGACUUAUUGCUAGGAGCUAGGUGCAGUACGAUCUGUCCUUCUUAGCCACAGUCUUUCUCAAGAUGAGCAGUACUGAGUGCACCUGGUGUCCUCUCAGCACAGAUUUGUGUCCCUAUCCUCUUCCUGUUGAGCUUGUACAGCAGCUUGUCCUUGGAGACCUUGAGCCAUCCUAUGGUACUUGCUUAUAGGGAGUGGAGCUGUGUACCUCUUGAAUUUGGUGGGUUUGGUGAGACACCUGAGUACUGCUAUGUCUGGGCUUUCUUCUAUGUCUCGUGACCAUUGUUGAGUCCAACAACCAUGGGCUUACCAUACAGCCAUGGCUGCUAUUCUUCCAUGGCAUGGUAGCUGUCACAGAAAGGGUGUUUCUAAAUGCUACAUUUGAAAUAACGAUCUUGUGUAUUUCCUUGUCAUGUUGUGUUAAAGGAUAGCACUAAGCCAGCAGAGGCAUUUCUAAAAAGUGAUACUGUGUGUGUGUGUCUGUGUGUGUAUGUUCAAUACAGAAAACAGGCCACUAUGAAACGUGCAAUCCUUUGUGAAGAGGAAGUUAAUAAGCACAUAAGUUAUCUACACGAGUAGUCUUGCACAUGGAACCUGUUACCUGUUGACUACUAUCACAACCACCAUUUUAAGAUGCAUACAUUUUCUGAGCAUCUGACAUUGCAGUGGUGUUGGCUUUUUGUUGACUGAACACCACACCCAGUAGGGAUGUCUCUUAGGCAGACUUUCAGUAGACUUAGAACCUGUAUUCAUCUUCUCCCAUAGUGAACCAGACAGGCAUUUCAUUAAGUGGACACUAUACCAAUGCCACUUUAAUUUGGUCAAAUGACAGUUCAAAGUUUCCUAGCCCCUUGGUGCUACCUAGAAAACUGUCUUUCUAGUAGUAUGAUCACCAGAGAAAGGAGCUCACCAGCAGGGUCUUUACCCUCCCUGCUGUUGCCAUCUUUUUCUCAGAAGCCAGAGAAUGAUGUCAUUAGCUGAACAUCUGUACAGCUGUCCUUGAGGACUCUCAAUGUUAAUAGUAUCAAAGGGACAUAUCCAAAAGGACACAUUGUAUCCAGUGGAAUGGAAAAUUACAAAUGCAAAGUCAAGACAUCCUCUUUUGGAAGAUCAUCUGCCCUUUUCAAUUUCAUUUUUCCAUUCAGUAGGCAGUUAUUGAAUGCUUAUUAUGAACCCCUCGUGCUUUCUCCUGCCUUGUUCUUGGGCUGACUUGUAUAUGGAGGAUGUUCAUCUGUAUGUCUAGUUGUUGUUGCUAUUAUUUUACAGUGUUGAGAAUUGUAGCCAAGAACGUAUACUUUGCUGAGCAAAUGUGUUGGGAGUGGGCCUUGAGGCUCUAUAGCCUGACCUCACUUCCUCUUCACUUUCUGCUUCCUGAGUAUGGAUAGAGUGGGACCAGCUAGCUUCCUGUUUCUGCAACCAUAUCUUCUCUGCCUGCUACAGUGUCUUCUCUGCCAUGGAGCAUAGUGUCCCUCUAGACCUUUAAGCCAAAAUAAACCACCACUCUUCCUUAAGCUGCUUUUGUAGGGAAUAUUUUGUCAGAGCAAUAGAAAAGCAACUAAUUCAAGAUUCUGGCUUGCUGUGAAGGGUGUUAAUGGUGAUCCUGAUGGUAAGGCCUUAGCCUGCUGUGAGAGAACAGGUGUUCGUUGAUGCUGAUAACAUUGGUAAUAUCAACUGCUAUUUGCUGAAUGUUAUGAUGAGUUUUAUAUAUUAGUGUUUGUACACAUUAAGUAUUCAAAAUGAUAUUCUUAUGAAAGAUUGCAUACAAGCACUAUAAGAUUUAGGGAAUGUUGAGUGUGAGCUCAAGACUACAUAGUUGUAGAAGCAGAACCAAAACCUGAAUCAUUUGACUAUUUAUUAAAUCCCAGUUCUGUUACUGCAUGCUGCUUUUUUCAUAACGCCAUUCUUAUUGUUCAACUUCCUCUCUCAUGUCUUUGAUAUUAGUAUAUUUAACUCAGACUUUUAACCCCAUGGAGUUUUGGUUUGGUUGGGUUUUGUUCAGAGAACAGGGUAAUAUGGUGGUUAUAUCCACUAACAUAACAUUUACUUGGAAAGGAUUAUUUUUUGAGUAGAUCUGUUCUGAAGUCUAUGUGUCUUUGGCCUAGACUUGUACUACUGUCUUUCCAAAAUGAUCCUGAGGUUGGUUCCUGAGAGCAUCCACAG
rnacentral:lncRNA from 1 species